rnacentral:rRNA from 1 species
UACGGAGGGUGCAAGCGUUAAUCGGAAUUACUGGGCGUAAAGCGCACGCAGGUGGCUGAGUCAGUCGAUUGUGAAAGCCCUGGGCUUAACCUGGGAAUUGCAGUCGAUACUACUUAGCUAGAGUAUGGGAGAGGGUAGUGGAAUUCCCGGUGUAGCGGUGAAAUGCGUAGAUAUCGGGAGGAACAUCAGUGGCGAAGGCGGCUACCUGGUCCAAUACCGACACUCAGGUGCGACAGCGUGGGGAGCAAAC